rnacentral:rRNA from 1 species
UACGGAGGGUGCGAGCGUUGUCCGGAAUCACUGGGCGUAAAGGGCGCGUAGGCGGCCUGAUAAGUAGGGGGUGAAAUCCUGCGGCUUAACCGCAGGGCUGCCUUCUAAACUGUCAGGCUGGAGCACAGUAGAGGCAGGUGGAAUUCCCGGUGUAGCGGUGGAAUGCGUAGAGAUCGGGAAGAACAUCAGUGGCGAAGGCGGCCUGCUGGGCUGUUGCUGACGCUGAGGUGCGAAAGCGUGGGGAGCAAACAGG